rnacentral:rRNA from 1 species
CCGUCAAUUCCUUUAAGUUUCACCCUUGCGAGCAUACUCCCCAGGCGGUGCACUUACCGCGUUAGCUCCGGCACUGAAGCAUCCGCCCCAGCACCUAGUGCACAUCGUUUACCGUGUGGACUACCAGGGUAUCUAAUCCUGUUUGAUCCCCACACUUUCGCACCUCAGCGUCAGUCAUCGGCCAGGAGCUUGCCUUCGCCAUUGGUAUUCUUCCUGAUAUCUACAGAUUUCACCCCUACACCAGGAAUUCUAGCUCCCUCUCCGUCACUCAAGCCUCGCAGUUCCCGACGCAUUCCCACGGUUGAGCCGUGGAAUUUCACGCCAGGCUUACAAGGCCGCCUACAUGCCCUUUACGCCCAGUAAUUCCGAACAACGCUCGCCCCCUACGUGUUACCGCGGCUGCUGGCACGUAGUUAGCCGGGGCUUAUUCGCCGGUUCAUGUCAUCACACGGGCAUUCCCUCCCAUGCUUAUUCUUCCCCAGCAAAAGGAUUUUACAACCUUUCGGCCUUCGUCAUCCACGCGGCGUCGCUGCGUCAGG